ACAGAAGGAACAAUUGAAUAAUAAUAAUAAUAUUUGCUUAAUAUUUACAAACUUUAUAAUGCGAUAGUGUGCUUAUACAUAUAACUGUUCACUGAAAGACGGAUGUGUGUUAAAAGUAUGUGCCAAAAUAAAGACAUUGCCACGUGUGCUGUACUGAUGCUAUAUGCUUGCUAUUGGAAAUAAUUGUGCUAUCAUACAUUGACCUUUCUUAACAUGUUAAAUUUGAAAAAAAAUGCUGGUGUUAGUGCUACCUGGAUUAAUGUUGUAAUAGAAGUACUUCCAUUGGUCCAACCAGACCUCUGCGAGUCGCGCAUUGUUGUGGUUCACUAUCUUGCUGGUACCACCAGGGAAUGUAUAUGGUGUUGACUUACGGAAUACAUGACCGACGUGCGAGCACGUUGCGAUCUCCAAUGUCCCACCACACAUCCAUAUCUAACCAACUCAGUUCU